UAUGACUUAGCGGCGGACGGGUGAGUAACGCGUGGAUAACCUGCCUCAUACAGGGGGAUAACAGUUAGAAAUGACUGCUAAUACCGCAUAAGCGCACAGGACCGCAUGGUCCGGUGUGAAAAACUCCGGUGGUAUGGGAUGGAUCCGCGUCUGAUUAGCUGGUUGGUGAGGUAACGGCCCACCAAGGCGACGAUCAGUAGCCGACCUGAGAGGGUGGCCGGCCACAUUGGGACUGAGACACGGCCCAAACUCCUACGGGAGGCAGCAGUGGGGAAUAUUGCACAAUGGGGGAAACCCUGAUGCAGCAACGCCGCGUGAGUGAAGAAGUAUUUCGGUAUGUAAAGCUCUAUCAGCAGGGAAGAAGAAAGACGGUACCUGACUAAGAAGCCCCGGCUAACUACGUGCCAGCAGCCGCGGUAAUACGUAGGGGGCAAGCGUUAUCCGGAUUUACUGGGUGUAAAGGGAGCGUAGACGGCUGUGCAAGUCUGAAGUGAAAGCCCGUGGCUCAACCGCGGAACUGCUUUGGAAACUGUAUAGCUUGAGUACUGGAGAGGCAGGCGGAAUUCCUAGUGUAGCGGUGAAAUGCGUAGAUAUUAGGAGGAACACCAGUGGCGAAGGCGGCCUGCUGGACAGAAACUGACGUUGAGGCUCGAAAGCGUGGGGAGCAAACAGGAUUAGAUACCCUGGUAGU
rnacentral:rRNA from 1 species